UCUAAUAGCAUGGGCAUCGCAUUCUAACCAAUAGUGCAAAUCGAGUACAGCAUGAACAGCUGCAUAUUCCAUAGGCAUAGCCCUACAAGACAUGCAAGGCCUAACUUUAAUUAUCAAAUCUAAUGACAAAACUUUCAAAAAAGAGUUAUUAUAAUCAUAAUACCAGCAGUGUUGAAACCUAAUUUAAAGCAUCUACAAUCUUAAUUAAAAAAUAACUUUAAAAGUCAUCAUCUAAUUAGUUUGAAAAGCAUCAACUUUAAAGAACAUCUAUCCACAACAUAAUCUAUAAAACCAAUUGCCUCUCA
rnacentral:lncRNA from 1 species